rnacentral:rRNA from 1 species
UGACCUCGGAUCAGGUAGGGAUACCCGCUGAACUUAAGCAUAUCAAUAAGCGGAGGAAAAGAAACCAACAGGGAUUGCCUUAGUAACUGCGAGUGAAGCGGCAGAAGCUCAAAUUUGAAAUCUGUGUCCUUCCGGGCACCGAGUUGUAAUUUUGAGAUACGUUUUCGACCGACAGGCCUGCCUUAAGUUCCUUGGAACAGGACGUCACAGAGGGUGAGAAUCCCGUGAACGGUAGGCCUCGAGGCGCAUGAUACGUAUUCGACGAGUCGAGUUGUUUGGGAAUGCAGCUCAAAAUGGGUGGUAAAUUUCAUCUAAAGCUAAAUAUUGGGGAGAGACCGAUAGCGCACAAGUAGAGUGAUCGAAAGAUGAAAAGCACUUUGAAAAGAGAGUUAAAAAGUACGUGAAAUUGUUGAAAGGGAAGCGCUUGAGACCAGACUCAAUAUCCGUUGAUCAACUUCAGUUCUCUGUUGUGCACUCGGCGGCUUUUGGGACAGCAUCGGUUCCCGCGGAGGGACAAAGCCUCAGGAAAUGUGGCACCCUUCGGGGUGUGUUAUAGUCCUCCGGGCAAUGCCUCCAGCGGGGACCGAGGACCGCGCUCCGGCUAGGAUGCUGUCAUAAUGGUCUCCAGCGACCCGUCUUGA